UCAUAAUUCAUUUAACUCACUGCGUAGCCACGUAUCCGCGUAUCCAGUAAAUUCUAUACAUCCAUCUUAUCAUUACGUCAUUUUCAAUUUAACUCACUGCGUAGCCAAGUAUCCGCGUAUCCACUAAAUACUAUACAUUUACUUUAGUCUUUACCAUACUUUUAAUUGAACUCACUGCGUAGCCAAGUAUCCGCGUAUCCACUAAAUACUAUACAUUUAUCUUUAGUCUUUACCAUAUUUUUAAUUUAACUCACUGCGUAGCCAAGUAUCCGCGUAUCCACUAAAUACUAUACAUUUAUC